rnacentral:rRNA from 11 species
UUGGGGAUGUAAAUUCCCUAAAAGUACUCGAUCUUGUCUGAUCUUGCAGGCAAAGUAGGGCCAGCCCUUGUUAGAACUUGGAUGGAAGAACAGAAAACAGCUGCGAUAGGCGUUAUCUCCCCAAA